GGGCGACGGAACCGGGAGCUGCGGCCCUCCCCACCCCCUGGCUUCAAGUUUGCCAGGAGGACGCCUGGAAUGUGCGGAAUGAAGGCUGGGAACCAGGAAGCAGGAACUCUCAGCUCGACUCCCAGAUCCGCCAUUGGUGCCCCCACGCUGGUCCUCUCCUUUCAGUUGUCCUCUGGUGUCCCUUAGGAUCCGCAAAGCUGUCACUAGGAAGAAUAAAGCACGUGGGAGAAAGCAGUCAGUGUGAGAUCCGUGCGGUGUGGCAAGAGACUCGUUCUGGACUCAGUAGUAGAAUCAAUCUAUUGAUGGAAAUAUUUCAUCAGUUUGCAUCAAGCUGGAAGAGACACAAAAAUGCAUCAUGUAAUCCACAACUCUCCUCACUUCCUGGUGAUCCAGACCACUCUAAUUCUACAAAUGGAUUCUCAAUCAAGCUUGCUGAUGGGUGGUGCAGGUGGAGAGCAGCAGGGGUGUGGUGAGAGCUGGUUUUGAUGUGGGGAGGGUAUUUGUGUUGG